rnacentral:rRNA from 1 species
CCUACGGGAGGCAGCAGUGAGGAAUAUUGGUCAAUGGGAGAGAUCCUGAACCAGCCAAGCCGCGUGAGGGAAGACGGCCCUAUGGGUUGUAAACCUCUUUUGUCGGAGAACAAAACCCGGUACGUGUCCCGCACUGCGUGUAUCCUACGAAAAAGCAUCGGCUAACUCCGUGCCAGCAGCCGCGGUAAUACGGAGGAUGCGAGCGUUAUCCGGAUUUAUUGGGUUUAAAGGGUGCGUGGGCGGCCCGUUAAGUCAGCGGUAAAAUUGCGGGGCUCAACCCCGUCGAGCCGUUGAAACUGGCAGACUUGAGUGGGCGAGAAGCAGGCGGAAUGCGCGGUGUAGCGGUGAAAUGCAUAGAUAUCGCGAAGAACUCCGAUUGCGAAGGCAGCGUACCGGAGCGAGACUGACGCUGAGGCACGAAAGCGUGGGGAUCGAACAGGAUUAGAUACCCUGGUAGUC